rnacentral:rRNA from 1 species
UACGGGGGGAGCAAGCGUUGUUCGGAUUUACUGGGCGUAAAGGGCGCGUAGGCGGCCACCGCAAGUCGGUUGUGAAAUCUCCGGGCUUAACCCGGAAAGGUCAACUGAUACUGCGGGGCUAGAGUGCAGAAGGGGCAACUGGAAUUCUCGGUGUAGCGGUGAAAUGCGUAGAUAUCGAGAGGAACACCUGCGGCGAAGGCGGGUUGCUGGGCUGACACUGACGCUGAGGCGCGAAAGCCAGGGGAGCGAACGGG